rnacentral:rRNA from 1 species
UACGGAGGGGGCGAGCGUUACCCGGAAUCACUGGGCGUAAAGGGCGCGUAGGCGGCUUUUUAAGUCGGGGGUGAAAGCCUGUGGCUCAACCACAGAAUGGCCUUCGAUACUGGGACGCUUGAGUAUGGUAUAGGUCGGUGGAACUGCGAGUGUAGAGGUGAAAUUCGUAGAUAUUCGCAAGAACACCGGUGGCGAAGGCGGCCGACUGGACCAUCACUGACGCUGAGGCGCGAAAGCGUGGGGAGCAAACAGG